rfam:Biomphalaria glabrata isolate BB02 unplaced genomic scaffold LGTN_random_Scaffold6958, whole genome shotgun sequence.
GUAUCCGUAGUUUAGUGGUAUUCACGUCCGCCUAACACGCGGAAGGUCCUGGAUUCGAAACCCAGCGGAAACA